rnacentral:misc_RNA from 1 species
GUAUUAGAUUUUGCCUUUCGGCAGACCAAAAAAAACAUGCAAUACAUCAAGUAAGAGUUUAUAAAACUUCAAAGACAGGCUUUACCCCGUCUUCGAAAUUGAGUGCACAUGUGUAAGUGGAUUAAAGAGAGCGAGCACAUACAAUCAUAGACUGCCAGCAUCAAACCCCCAGUUAAUUCAAUAAUGAUCCUUCCGCAGGUUCACCUACGGAAA